AGCCAUCUAUCAUUAUGUAAAAGUACAACAACUGGAUGAUAUCAACGAGACUCGGCGAUAAAAAGCAAACAAGACGGCAAAGUAUGGCUGAAAUUGUGUUUUCGUGGGGGGUGAGUGAAUUAAAAUGUAUUAUAUUUAAAGAAAACAAUGACAAUCCUUAUGAAAACCAGAAUAAUUAUAUUAAAUUAAGCAUAGUUUUUCAUUCCAUGAUAAUUUUCUUUAGGAAAUAAGAACAUUAAAUUUCUGCCAGGCAUAUCAGUUAUUUUGUGCAUAAUCAGCAAUUUACCUGGGGUUGUGAAUAGUCAUUUUCUAGUAAAAUAUUAUACUUAGACAAAUUUUUCCUUCC